UUGUGACCACGCCCACCUACUGCUGCCAGGUGGCGCCGCCGCGCGUCGCGUCGCGGUGACGUCAGAGCCGGCGCGCGCGCUGUCUCGGCCAUGGCGGCGGCGGGAGGCUCCCGCUCUGGGGAUCCAGCCCCGUUGAGGAAGCCAUCGGGAAGGAGGAGGUGGAUUCAGAGGACCUAUCAUCGAAACUGGCCUUAUUGUGGUUAAUUAAUGCUGCCUAAUUAACGCCACCGAGGGCUCAGCCCCUCCUGUGGGGGGGACCCGGGAUACAGCCCUGUCCCUCUAUCCCGGCGGGAUUUCUCCGGAGUCACCACGUGUCCAGGCUCCUCUGAUCCAGGGGGACAGGAGGGGAACCCCUGGAACCCCCCGGCAGGGCCAGUGACCUUCCUGCCCUUUGCCGUUCCAGGC